rnacentral:rRNA from 1 species
UUUGAUGCCGUUGACGGUACCGGGUGAGGAAGCACCGGCUAACUCCGUGCCAGCAGCCGCGGUAAUACGGAGGGUGCGAGCGUUGUCCGGAAUCACUGGGCGUAAAGGGCGCGUAGGUGGCACGGUCAGCGUGUGGUGAAAGCCUGGGGCUCAACCCCGGGUCGGCCAUGCGAACUGCCGGGCUUGAGCACUGUAGAGGCAGACGGAAUUCCGGGUGUAGCGGUGGAAUGCGUAGAGAUCCGGAAGAACACCGGUGGCGAAGGCGGUCUGCUGGGCAGUUGCUGACACUGAGGCGCGACAGCGUGGGGAG